rnacentral:misc_RNA from 1 species
UCCGAGUUGACCCCGGCAGUCUCCUAUGAGUCCCCGCCAUCACGCGCUGGCAACAUAGAACGAGGGUUGCGCUCGUUGCGGGACUUAACCCAACAUCUCACGACACGAGCUGACGACAACCAUGCACCACCUGUACGCCGCCCUUACGGACCCCCCAUCUCUGGAGGAUUUCGGCGUAUGUCAAGCCUUGGUAAGGUUCUUCGCGUUGCGUCGAAUUAAACCACAUACUCCACCGCUUGUGCAGGCCCCCGUCAAUUUCUUUGAGUUUUAAUCUUGCGACCGUACUUCCCAGGCGGCGUAUUUAACGCGUUGGCUACGCCACAAAAGGGGUCGAUUCCUUUUACAGCAAAUACGCACCGUUUACGGCUAGGACUAC